rnacentral:rRNA from 1 species
AGCGAACGCUGGCGGCAGGCUUAACACAUGCAAGUCGAGCGGGCGUAGCAAUACGUCAGCGGCAGACGGGUGAGUAACGCGUGGGAACGUACCUUUUGGUUCGGAACAACACAGGGAAACUUGUGCUAAUACCGGAUAAGCCCUUACGGGGAAAGAUUUAUCGCCGAAAGAUCGGCCCGCGUCUGAUUAGCUAGUUGGUGAGGUAACGGCUCACCAAGGCGACGAUCAGUAGCUGGUCUGAGAGGAUGAUCAGCCACACUGGGACUGAGACACGGCCCAAACUCCUACGGGAGGCAGCAGUGGGGAAUAUUGGACAAUGGGGGCAACCCUGAUCCAGCCAUGCCGCGUGAGUGAUGAAGGCCCUAGGGUUGUAAAGCUCUUUUGUGCGGGAAGAUAAUGACGGUACCGCAAGAAUAAGCCCCGGCUAACUUCGUG